rnacentral:rRNA from 1 species
CAAUAGCGUAUAUUUAAGUUGUUGCAGUUAAAAAGCUCGUAGUUGGAUUUCGGAUGGGACUUGCCGGUCCGUCGUUUCGAUGUGCACUGGCCAGUCCUAUCUUGUUGUCGGGGACUAGCUCCUGGGCUUCACUGUCCGGGACUAGGAGCUGACGAGGUUACUUUGAGUAAAUUAGAGUGUUCAAAGCAAGCCUACGCUCUGAAUACAUUAGCAUGGAAUAACACGAUAGGACUCUGGCUUAUCUUGUUGGUCUGUGAGACCAGAGUAAUGAUUAAGAGGGACAGUCGGGGGCAUUCGUAUUUCAUUGUCAGAGGUGAAAUUCUUGGAUUUAUGAAAGACGAACUUCUGCGAAAGCAUUUGUCAAGGAUGUAUUCAUUAA